rnacentral:piRNA from 1 species
UGGAACAACUGUGCAUUCUUAGAGU